UAAUGAGGGAAGGAAAAGAAACUAACUAGGAUUUUCUUAGUAGCGGCGAGCGAAAAGAAAAUAGUUCAGCACUAAGUUAUUUUGUUAUAUUAACAAAUAUAAGAUGCAGUGUAUGGAAUAUCUAUGAUCUAAUAAAAUAAAUUAACUGUCCAAGUCCUUCUUAAAUGAGGCCAUUUACCCAUAGAGGGUGCCAGGCCCGUAGGGACGUUAAUGAUUAUUAGAAGAUAUUUCUUAAGAGUCGUGUUGCUUGAUAGUGCAGCACUAAUUGGGUGGUAAACUCCAUCUAAAACUAAAUAUGACCAUGAGACCGAUAGCAAACAAGUACCGUGAGGGAAAGUUGAAAAGAACUCUGAAUAGAGAGUUAAAUAGUACGUGAAACUGCUUAGAGGUUAAGCCCGAUGAACCUGAAUAUUCAAUAUGAAAAAUUCAUCAUUAAUAAUAUAUUAUAAUCUUAUAUAUAAUAUAAAAAUAAUGUGCAAUUUUUUCAUAUAUGAACAUUGUAAUCUGUUAAUAUUAUAUAAAUUUAUCAAAAGUGCCGUUUGGAUCUGUUUAUAUGUUAUUAUAAAAUUUAUUUUAUAAUUCUUAUAAAAUCCAAAUUAAAAUGCGGUCACAGAUAAAUUAUUAACAGAUUUUUUAUAUAUAACGCUAACAUUUAAUAUGUUAUUAUAAAAUACUGGUCAUGUAUUAAUGUUUUAUAAUAUGCGUUUAUAUGAUUAACAAUGCUAAAGAUUUAGGAUACCUUCGGGACCCGUCUUGAAACACGGACCAAGGAGUCUAACAUAUGCGCAAGUCAUUGGGUAUUAAAAACCUAAAGGCAUAAUUAACUUGACUGUUUAAAAAAUAUUGGAUUAAUUAUAUAUUAAUAUAAUAUAUAUUCAAUCCAGGGGCGUUCCAUAUAGUUAUGUAUUUUAAGAUAUUUUUUAUAUUAUUAUUAAUACCUCUAACUGGAGCGUACCUUGAGCAUAUAUGUUGUGACCCGAAAGAUGGUGAACUAUACCUGAUCAGGUUGAAGUCAGGGGAAACCCUGAUGGAAGACCGAAACAGUUCUGACGUGCAAAUCGAUUGUCAGAAUUGGGUUUAGGGGCGAAAGACCAAUCGAACCAUCUAGUAGCUGGUUCCCUCCGAAGUUUCCCUCAGGAUAGCUGGUGCAUUUAAAAUUUAUGUAAAAUAAUCUUAUCUGGUAAAGCGAAUGAUUAGAGGCCUUAGGGCCGAAACGACCUUAACCUAUUCUCAAACUUUAAAUGGGUAAGAACUUCACCUUUCUUGAUAUGAAGGUUGAAGUUGUGAUAUAUUGUUACCCAGUGGGCCACUUUUGGUAAGCAGAACUGGCGCUGUGGGAUGAACCAAACAUAAUGUUAAGGCGCCAAAAUUAACAACUCAUACUGAUACCAUGAAAGGCGUUGCUUGCUUAAAACAGCAGGACGGUGGACAUGGAAGUCGUAAUCCGCUAAGGAGUGUGUAACAACUCACCUGCCGAAGCAACUAGCCCUUAAAAUGGAUGGCGCUUAAGUUGUAUGCCUAUACAUUAUCGUUAAAGUAUAUGAUUUAUAGAAAUUUUUUUUUAUAAAUUUUGAAACUUUAAUGAGUAGGAGGGUACAAUGGUGUGCGUAGAAGUGUUUGGCGUAAGCCUGCAUGGAGCCGCCAUUGGUACAGAUCUUGGUGGUAGUAGCAAAUAAUCGAAUGAGACCUUGGAGGACUGAAGUGGAGAAGGGUUUCGUGUGAACAGUGGUUGAUCACGAGUUAGUCGGUCCUAAGUUCAAGGCGAAAGCCGAAAAAUUUUAAGUUAAUAAUAAAAUGAUAAUAUUUUAAUAUACUUAAUAUUUUUGAACGAAAGGGAAUACGGUUCCAAUUCCGUAACCUGUUGAGUAUACGUUUGUUAUUAAAAAUGGGCUUUUAUUGCUCAUCCUGGCAACAGAAACAACCAUAAAGAAGCCGUCGAGAAAUAUCGAAAGAGUUUUCUUUUCUGUUUCAUAACCAUACUACCAUGGAAGUCUUUCGAAGAGAGAUAUGGUAGAUAGGUUAGAAGAGCAUGGCAUUUACUGUUGUGUCGAUAUUUUCUCCUCGGACCUUGAAAAUUUAUGGUAGGGUAACGCAAAUUUCUUAACAGGCCGUACCGAUAUCCGCAGCUGGUCUCCAAGGUGAAGAGUCUCUAGUCGAUAGAAUA
rnacentral:rRNA from 1 species